CGAAUUAAUUUGAGCUAAAUAAACUUAACUUGUUAGAGGUAUGAUGUGCGUAGCAUAGCACAAUUUCAAGGGUUAUUUAGGGGUGAUAGGCCUCCCAAAAAUUAAGAUAUCUUGAUACCAUAAAAAUGUAUUUAGUACUAUAGGCAGAUAUAAAAUGUUUAGGUUUUAUAUUAAUAUUAUGUGUAUUUAUUAAUUUAUAAUAGGUAUAAUCAUCUUUUGUAUAUGUAUGUUUAUUAUUUUUAUUAAAAAUCAUAUAGAUACGUAUAUGGUCCGUGUAAAAUUUACUUUCUACUUGAUAAUGUUGAUAUUAGUACAUAAGUAAGACUAAAAUAAUGAACUCGGCAAAUUAUUUCUUCAACUGUUUAUCAAAAACAUAGCUAUAUGUAAUGGUUUAUAUAGUGUUUUCUGCUCAAUGUAAUUAUAAAUAGCCGCAGUACUUUGACUGUGCAAAGGUAGCAUAAUCAAUUGGCUUAUAAUUGAAGUCUAGAAUGAAUGAAUGUUUGAGGAAAGACUGUUUCAUUUAAGGCAGAGGAAAUUGCUUAGGAAGUGAAAAUACUUCUUUAUAAAAAAUAGACGAGAAGACCCUAGAAAUUUUGAAAAACGGUAUUUAUACUAUAUUUUUGUUGGGGCGACAAAGUAGCAAUUUAAACCUACUUUAUUAUAUAUGAAAUAAUUGAGAAGUAUACAUAAAUUACUCUAGGGAUAACAGCAUAAUAUUAUAAAGUUUGUGACCUCGAUGUUGGACUAGGAAAAUAUAAUUCAGAAGAUUAUUAUUUUGGCUCUGUU
rnacentral:rRNA from 1 species